rnacentral:rRNA from 1 species
GACGAACGCUGGCGGCGUGCCUAAUACAUGCAAGUAGAACGCACAGUUUAUACCGUAGCUUGCUACACCAUAGACUGUGAGUUGCGAACGGGUGAGUAACGCGUAGGUAACCUGCCUGGUAGCGGGGGAUAACUAUUGGAAACGAUAGCUAAUACCGCAUAAUAUUAAUUAUUGCAUGAUAAUUAAUUGAAAGGUGCAAUUGCACCACUACCAGAUGGACCUGCGUUGUAUUAGCUAGUAGGUGAGGUAACGGCUCACCUAGGCGACGAUACAUAGCCGACCUGAGAGGGUGAUCGGCCACACUGGGACUGAGACACGGCCCAGACUCCUACGGGAGGCAGCAGUAGGGAAUCUUCGACAAUGGACGAAAGUCUGACCGAGCAACGCCGCGUGAGCGAAGAAGGUUUUCGGAUCGUAAAGCUCUGUUGUAAGAGAAGAACGGGUGUGAGAGUGGAAAGUUCACACUGUGACGGUAUCUUACCAGAAAGGGACGGCUAACUACGUG